AGUUUGGUGUCAGAAGACAAAGAAUUGUGGCCAUGUGCCUCUGGAGGACCCACCUGGACAUCAGAGAGCAAAAAAGUACAGAGUGGGGGUCCAGAUGUCUUCUGAUUACGAGCCAACACAAGAGAUUAUGUUGGACCUUGAAGCAGUUGGGGAGGACUACCACAGCUUUCAAGAGCAUAUACA